ensembl:lncRNA
GUUCCUACCCUUGUGGAGACUUAAGAGCUAGUGGAAGAGACAGAACUAAACACAUAAUGAGAAAUAAAAAGGUAUACAAGGACUUCCCUGGUGGUCCAGUGGCUAAGACUCUGCAUUCACAAUGCAGAGCACCCAGGUUCAAUUCCUGAUCAGUAAACUAGAUCCCAUAUCUUGCAACUGAAAGAUUCUGCAUACUACAACUAAAACCCCCACACAGCCAAACAAAUAUUAAAAAAAAACAGAAGGUAUGCACAGGGUUGGGCUUCCCAGGUGGCACUAAUGGUAAAGAACCAGCCUGCCAAUGCAGGAGACAUUUAAGAGGCCUGGGUUGGCUCCCUGGGUAGGGAAGAUCCCCUGGAGGAAGGCAUGACAACCUACUCCAGUAUUCUUGCCUGGAGAAUCCCAUGGACAGAGGAGCCUGGAGGGCUAUGGUCCAUAGGGUCACAAAGACUCAGACACGACUAAAGCAACUUAGCACACAUGCAUGCACAUGCAGAAGGAGGAGCAUAUAAGAGACCCUCGGAGAGUCAAGAAGAACUUUUUCCUCUUCUACAGUCUCAAUGAAAAGAUCACACAUUUCCUGAAUAUGACCAAGAUAUCUUCUUAGCUUUUAUUCAUUCCUCCCUAGCUCCUUUUCAGAAUUAACAGAACUACUUAAUAACCUAAUUAAUAAGAGACUUAUUCAUUAGAGACUCCUUCCUUUUCUAAAAUUCCAUGAAUUAAAACUGGAAAAGGUCUGACCUCUGUUGGUUCACUGUCUGUUGUACUUUGGUCCAAAUAAAUUACAAUGUCUUGACCUCAAUUGACAUUUGCAUGUUAAGUCUUUAUCUCUAAUCUGGAAUGAAAGGCUUUAUAAUAUCCAAAAGAAUUUCAAAUGUGGCCUGCCAAGCGAUUUUGAAAGAUUAAUGAAGGGGACCAUUUAAUUUUCAUUUGCAGUGGAGGCAAAGCUUUCAGUCACUGGGCAGUUCCCUGGACAACUGUCUGACUAUGAAAACUUCUUGAAUAUCCUGAACAAGCAAGACAACACCCUCAUGUCCAGGAAUGACAGUGGUCAUGUAUGGAUGUGAGAGUUGGACUGUGAAGAAAGCUGAGCACCAAAGAAUUGAUGCUUUUGAACUGUGGUGUUGGAGAAGACUCUUGAGAGUCCCUUGGAUUGCAAGGAGAUCCAACCAGUCCAUUCUGAAGGAGAUCAGCCCUGGGAUUUCUUUGGAAGGAAUGAUGCUAAAGCUGAAACUCUAGUACUUUGGCCACCUCAUGCGAAGAGUUAACUCAUUGGAAAAGACUCUGAUGCUGGGAGGGAUUGGGGGCAGGAGGAGAAGGGGAUGACAGAGGAUGAGAUGGCUGGAUGGCAUCACUGACUCGAUGGACGUGAGUCUGAGUGAACUCCGGGAGUUUGUGAUGGACAGGGAGGCCUGGCGUGCUGCGAUUCAUGGGGUCCAAAGAGUCAGACACGACUGAGCAACUGAACUGAACUGAGCAAUUUAGGACUGCUGUUUCACUGGGCCAGUGGAGAAGGAAGUACAUCUGUCGAGAGCCUCGAAGAGAUGAGCAGAUGAAAAUCAAUGAAGAGGAAAACUAGGAUUGAGCAACCCCACAGGUUUCCCAACCAGGAAUCAAACCCGCGUCUCCUGCAUUGGAAAUACAGAGUCUUAACCACUGGGCCACCAAAGAAGUCCCAUUCUCCUCCUCUUUGAUUUACUAGUGACACUGCCUGCCAAAGGCAGCUUCUGGAAGCCAGAGUACAAGGAAAUCUGUUAAUUUUGUUCAUCAACGUCAGCUUUUCUGGCACAAAGCUGGAUAGAGAAGAACGAAGAGAGAUCUAGAGGGACAACUGGAAGAUAUUCAGCCACCUGCUCUGACAUUUUUUGCUCAGGCUAGGCUUAUCACCUAGAACACCCUCAUUUUCAAUUGUCAUAUAAUCCUCUGCUAUGGUCUAGGAUUCAAGUAUAUGACCUACUUUUAAAUACAGACAUCCCUCUCUCCUGGUUAGCAUUUUCAGCUGUAUCUUUCCCACUGACACUUAACUAUAUACAGCCUUUAUUGCCACUAAAUGUUUCAAAGAUAUGUAAGUAUCCCAUUAAAUUGUAAGCUCAAUUUAUGUUAUGCUUCUUUUCAAUCUCUGUAGCACCUAACACAGUGUUCAGCACAGACCAGUUGAAACAAAUUGUAAUUUUCUUAAUUCUCUCACUUUUUUUUAUCCCCACCCUCUACCUGCCCCGAGGGGCUUCCCAGGGAGUGCUGCUGCUGCUGCUAAGUCGCUUCAGUCGUGUCCGACUCUGUGCGACCCCAUAGACGGCAGCCCACCAGGCUCCGCCGUCCCUGGGAUUCUCCAGGCAAGAACACUGGAGUGGGUUGCCAUUUCCUCCUCCAAUGCAUGAAAGUGAAAAGUGAAAGUGAAAUUGCUCAGUUGUAUCCGACUCUUCGUGACCCCAUGGACUGCAGCCUAUCAGGCUCCUCCAUCCAUGGGAUUUUUCCAGGCAAGAGUACUGGAGUGGGUCGCCAUUGCCUUCUCCUCGUCUCCUCCCAAGUGGUCUCAAUAGUGAUUGAAGGGAGCUGGUGACUGAAAAAUCAAGCAACCUCAUCGAAAUGAUGGAGACGGGGGCAACUCUGAAGUAGCUCCUAAGAGGUUUCCCAGAACCCCCUGGGACCCACAAGGAUGGAUCUGCGUAACAAUUCACCCUUAAUUAGCUUCCUUCCCUUUCUUCUUCUGUCUUUCUGCUGCUGCCAAUGCUUCCUAGAAACACCUCCCAUAUGAAACACUUACUUAAAUUAUUUAAGUUUACUUCUAAGAUAGAAUGAUGUGAUAUCACCAAUGAUAUUCAACCCACUUGUGGUAGGAAUAUGCAAGGAUGUACUUUUCUUGAUAUAGCUUCUCUGUCCUGAUAUUUUCCUCUUUCUUGGCUUUCAUGGUAUAUAAACAUAUUAUUGAUCCGCCUGAGGAAAAUUACAGAUUUUUUAAAAUACUAAAAAUAAAGUUAGUGUUGUCUUAUCUUUUUAUAACAGCAACAUAUCUUUAUUAUUGAAAAUAAUACCACUGUUCUAAAAUAGAGACUGUUAAUAUCUUGCUGUGUGCCCUUUUGGAACAUUUUCUUUACAUGAAUUAAUGUGGGUCUUUUUAAUUGCUUUUUUUCCCACUGAAGAAUGUAUGUUGAAUAACUUGACAAGUCAAAAAAAAAAAAAAAUACUCAUGUUUAAUAGCAUUCAAAAUGACUGCCAGGACUUCCUGGCAGUACAGUGGUUAAGACGUCCCCCUUCCACUACAAGCUGCACAGGUUCAAUCCCUGGUCAGGGAACUAAUUUCCUGCACAACAAUAAAAAUGAUUUCAGGAUGUUUCACUGUAUGGACUUACUACUGCUGCUGCUGCUGCUGCUAAGUCGCCUCAGU